rnacentral:lncRNA from 10 species
GCAAAGGGCUUCCGGGUUCCUCCGCGCUAACCACCCCCCACGUGCGCGGCCGCCUGUGGCCUCUUCCCGCUGCGGCCGGCCCGGCUCCUCUAGCCCCAGCUCCGGGGGACGCCGGGCACGGGUGAGCGGGCGUGGUCCCCUCCGGGCCCGGUUUCCGAAACGUGCGUAGAUGGAGCCAGCGUGGCCCCCUGCUCUCUCCUACCCGGACCGCACUACGAGUCCCAGCCGGCACCGCCGCCACGCGCGUCGGCCGCAGAAGCGGUGCCUGCUGGGAGCUGGAGUCCCCAACGGCCGCGGCGCUCGCUGACACCAACUGGCUGCGCGGGUCCUGGCCGCCCGCUCCGGGACCCCCCAACCGUCCUGCGCGCUGGACCCCGGCACCGCUGGAGCUCCCGGCGCGGGGUUGGGGGGCAGGGAGAGAGAGGGGAGGGCCCCUCGGGUUCCUCGUCCUCUUCUUUUCCAGCCCGACCCUCCUCCGUGUCUUCACUGGACGUUGUCGUUGGUCAAAGUGGCUUUAAUUUGGGAUAGCUGUGUUGGGGGUCUUUGGUCACUUCUUACCUUAAGGUGCUAGGCUGGAAUCAUUGAUUUGUGCUGCUUCUGCCAGACAUUUCUUGGCGAUAGAAACCAGGAGUGGAGAAAAGUGAAUGUUUUUCCUGAAAGUACGGGUUUGUCACAAUCACUACUAUAUGGCACCACAGCCCUGCAACCAGACAAAAUUAGGAAUAGUCUAAAACAACGUCCUUAUAAAUAACUAAAACAAUUCUGCACAUUAGUAGUGGGUUUUAAUAGGAAUGCUAAAUUUAACGAAUUGAUAGUAAUAAAAACCGGCUCUAGGAAUGACAUUAAAUCAACAUACAAAUUCCACUCGAAAGUAGUAAAGUGCUUUUACAGUUUUUAAAGCACUCGCGUAAACAUACUAUCAUUUGUUCCUGAGAGCAAUCUGGUGUGGGAGGUGGAGCAAGUAGUAAUAAUUUUACUUUACUGUUACAGGAACAGUCUCAAAGAAGUUAAAUGAUUGCCCAAUUUAUUCCUUAAUUCAAUAAACUUUAAUGGAUGUCAACUGUAUUGCUAGGUGUGGAAUUAAGUACUUUAUAUCUUGUCUCAUUUAAUUAGAAUUUAAACCAGUGGAAUCCCACAUAAAUACUAUUUUGCUCCUAUUAAAAAGAGGAUAAAAUGUGACCGGGCGCGGUGGCUCACUCCUGUAAUUCCAGCACUUUGGGAGGCUGACGCACGCUGAUCACUUGAGGUCAGGAGUUCGAGACCAGCCUGGCCAACAUGGUGAAACCCCGUCUCUACUAAAAAUACAAAAAGUAGCCAGGCGCGGUGGCUCACGCCUGUAAUCCCAGCACUUUGAGAAGCCAAGGGGGGCAGAUCACGAGGUCAAGAGAUCGAGACCAUCCUGGCCAACAUGGUGAAACCCCGUCUCUACUAAAAAUACAAAAAUUAGCUGGGCGUGGUGGCGCGCGCCUAUAGUCCCAGCUACUCGGGAGCCUGAGGCAGGAGAAUCGCUUGAACCCGGGAGGCGGAGGUUGCAGUGAGCCAGGAUUGCGUCACUGCACUCCAGCCUGGUGACAGAACGAGACUCAAAUAAAUAAAAAAUAAACAGUUGUUAGGCUUCCAGGGCAGCUUGACAGGCAGUGAUGCCCUGGAUGGUAAAUGGAAGCAUUCUCAUCACUAGAAAAGUAUAUUAGUGCUUUGUAGGUGAAUACAUAGUUUGGGAAGGGAGCCAGUCAUCAGGACGUCUAUGCAGCUGUGGCUCUUGCACUUAGUAGAUGUCAUUGUCAUAUUUUAUGGAGGUACAGUUGAGUAUGUGCAAGGGAAAGUAGAAGCAAAGUCCAUACCUGAGGACAAGGAGCUGCUAUUUAAUAGAAUAGGAGAGAGAGUCAGAGCCCAGGAGGAAACAGGAGUGGGAUCUGGAACUGAAACCAAGAACCUGUUCCCUUGAUCCAUCAAUCACCUCUUUUUAUUUCCAGCCAGCUGCUUUCGCUCAGAUCAGAAACUGGUCAAUUCAGAUCAAAAAGAAAACAAACCAAUCUUCUCUUAAUGACAUAUUCCUCUCUCAUUCACUUUUUUUUCAUAGCCAAGCUUUUCAUUUCUGCUUUCUCUCUCCUUAGUUCCUCAACACUACCGUAUGACUUCCAGCUGCACUCAAAUUGCCCCAUCAACAGUUGCCAAUGAUCCCUGUUCUAUUUGACAAAUCCAAUGGACUUUCUUCAGGUCCAUUUUACUGGACAUCUGCAGAGUUUGACACUGUUUUCCUCCCUCUCUUUUGUCACACACUCUCUUGGCGUCUGGGCUACACUUUCCUGGUUCUGCCUCUCAGAUUCUUCCUCCUCUCCGCCAGUAACUUACCAUUCCCUGACCACCAGGUAGGAUUGGGCACCCUUCCUUUGGUUUUUCCCCUGCCCCCCGCCAACCCUGCCACUACAUUUACUACGUUAUAUCAAAAUAGUGUGUUUAUGAGCGAUCUCCCAAAAUAAGUUGUAAGCGCCAAAAGAAGGCUUAUGUCAUGUUUAUCUGCAUCCCAACCAUCUACCGUGAAGCCUGGCACACUGAGGGUGUAUUUUUUCUUUUUAAACCUAACUUCAGGGAGAGGGCCAGCUAGGCCUUGUAGACUGACCAUAUAGGAUGAGGGUUAGUUGGGAGGUCUCAACCUGAUGGUCACAUGGGCACCUAGGGCCGUGUUCACCUCCAGACUGCUUGGCCUGCUGCAGCAUGUUACCUCUCAGCUCCACAAGCUGUUUCGGGGAGCGCUUCCUGACAUGCUGGUUGGGCUCUCAUUUCUAGUGCUGGAAGUAGUGGACUUUUAGUACCCCAAAUCAGGCAAGCAGGGACAAGCAAGGACUCCUGGACAACAGGAGUUUCUGGACCUCCAAAGCUGAGGACGCUGUAUGGUGGUAAUCCCACUAAUGUUCUGAGACCCCUUUUUGAUGUUAGCAGUCUGAUUGCUUGUGAUAGAGGUAAUUAAGGCUACGAAUAAAAGGCAGAAG